AACGAACGCUGGCGGCAGGCCUAACACAUGCAAGUCGAACGAGAAGCCACCUUCGGGUGGUGGACAGUGGCAGACGGGUGAGUAACGCGUGGGAACGUGCCUUUCGGUUCGGGAUAACCCAGGGAAACUUGGGCUAAUACCGGAUACACCCUCCGGGGGAAAAAUUCAUUGCCGAAAGAUCGGCCCGCGUCAGAUUAGCUAGUUGGUGGGGUAAAAGCCUACCAAGGCUACGAUCCGUAGCUGGUCUGAGAGGAUGACCAGCCACACUGGGACUGAGACACGGCCCAGACUCCUACGGGAGGCAGCAGUGGGGAAUAUUGGACAAUGGGCGAAAGCCUGCUCCAGCCAUGCCGCGUGGGUGAAGAAGGCCUUAGGGUUGUAAACCCCUUUCAGCGGGGAAGAUAAUGACGGUACCCACAGAAGAAGUCCCGGCUAACUCCGUGCCAGCCGCCGCGGUAA
rnacentral:rRNA from 1 species